UACCCUACCACUCUAAGGCAGAAUGGUGUUGGUCUUAACUCAAUGUGCGCUCGUGUGGCCGGCAUCCUCGCUCCACUGAUCAGGCUCCUGGACGUCUACCAUUACACCAUCCCUAUGCUGAUAUAUGGCAUCGUCCCCAUUGCUGCUGGGGGUUUCUGUAUAUUCCUGCCUGAAACCCGCAAUGUUGAACUCCAGGACCACGCUCAACUCAUGAAACCUGUGGACAAGACUGCAGACACAGGAUCCAUCAGUCAAUCAGAAAAGUCCACAAAAAUGUAACUUACUGAAACUUAAUCAUGUUGAACUUGAAAUGUUUUGUGACUGAAAUUAGAAUUUGUGUAUGUUUAAUUAUAUUUACCGUAUUUUCCGGACUAUAAGCCGCUACUUUUUUUCCCAUGCUUUGAACCAUGCGGCUUAUACAAAGAUG